CUACCUCUCGAUUCCUCUCUACAACAUAACAGGAGAUCCCCAUUUUUUUCAAACAUCAUCAGACAACACACACAUUCAUUUGUCUCCUCCUCUCCCACUCGACACACCCCCACCUCUCGAUCUCCUCUCUCUCUCCGACAGAACCCCGGUGACAGGAGUUUAAUCUGACCGGCGACUGCACUUCCAUGGCGGUGGCAGUGGUGUUUGAGGUCCCAGUCACACACACCCAUACCUCAACCUCUCAUACCCCCCCCCCUCUCGGUUCCGAUCUCGGUAGCAGACGCGCCACCGUGAGCGGCGGCGGUGGUGCCAGACGACGAAGAAAGACAUAACAGAGAGAGAGAAAGAGGCAGGAGACGAGGAGAGAGAGAUACAUUAAGAAAGAGAAGGAGUGACGGCGGAGAGCCGCCGUCGUGCGGCGGCGUGGCGGUGGUCCUCUCAGUCCGACGGGUCACGUUCGUGAAAGAUUCACAUUCGGUUCCCAGUCAGACAUCACGGCUCGGUUUGACUCGGUCAAACCGAGUCAACUCAGUGUUCGGGUCAGUGGGUUGAUUCCGGUUCAGGUCAACAGUUGAACAACGGGAGACGGUUCAGAUGUAGAGAUCAGUUUGAUGUUCGAGUCAAUUCGGUUAAACCGAGUUAACUCAGUUUGGGCUGGGUCAAAUAGUCAAGGCAGUCAACAGCAGUCAACGCCCGGUCAACACGAAGAACCGGUAACAAAGUUAGAAGGUAGCGAGUUGUUAUACGUUAGUUAGACUUUAUAUAGUUAAACGCGACCGAACUCGACCCGUUUCGCUUUGGUAUUGGUUUACAUUCAUUAUACUCGACGAAAACUUUAUAUAGUUUAAUUAUAUGAUUGAAUUGUUGUUGAAAA